rnacentral:rRNA from 1 species
CGUAGGGUGCGAGCGUUAAUCGGAAUUACUGGGCGUAAAGCGUGCGCAGGCGGUGAUGUAAGACAGAUGUGAAAUCCCCGGGCUCAACCUGGGAACUGCAUUUGUGACUGCAUCGCUGGAGUGCGGCAGAGGGGGAUGGAAUUCCGCGUGUAGCAGUGAAGUGCGUAGAUAUGCGGAGGAACACCGAUGGCGAAGGCAAUCCCCUGGGCCUGCACUGACGCUCAUGCACGAAAGCGUGGGGAGCAAACAGGAUUAGAUACCCUGGUAGUCCACGCCCUAAACGAUGUCAACUGGUUGUUGGUCCUUCGCUCGGAUCAGUAACGAAGCUAACGCGUGAAGUUGACCGCCUGGGGAGUACGGCCGCAACGGUUG